rnacentral:rRNA from 1 species
UACGUAGGGGGCAAGCGUUGUCCGGAUUUAUUGGGCGUAAAGAGCUCGUAGGCGGUCUGUCGCGUCGGAUGUGAAAAUCCAGGGCUCAACCCUGGACCUGCAUUCGAUACGGGCAGACUAGAGUUCGGCAGGGGGAGACUGGAAUUCCAGGUGUAGCGGUGAAAUGCGUAGAUAUCUGGAGGAACACCGGUGGCGAAGGCGACAUCCUGGACCGGUAUUGACGCUGAGGCGCGAAGGCCAGGGGAGCAAAGCGGG